AACACAUGCAAGUCGAGGGGUAACGGAAGUAGCUUGCUACUAGACGACGACCGGCGCACGGGUGAGUAACGCGUAUGUAAUCUGCCUUGUACAGAGGGAUAGCCCAGAGAAAUUUGGAUUAAUACCUCAUAGUAUUACUGAGUCGCAUGAUUUGGUAAUUAAAGCUCCGGCGGUACAAGAUGAACAUGCGUGACAUUAGCUAGUUGGUAAGGUAACGGCUUACCAAGGCUACGAUGUCUAGGGGUUCUGAGAGGAUGAUCCCCCACACUGGUACUGAGACACGGACCAGACUCCUACGGGAGGCAGCAGUGAGGAAUAUUGGUCAAUGGACGCAAGUCUGAACCAGCCAUCCCGCGUGAAGGAUGACUGCCCUAUGGGUUGUAAACUUCUUUUAUAUGCAAAUAAACCUACUUUCGUGAAAGUAGCUGAAGGUAGCAUAUGAAUAAACACCGGCUAACUCCGUGCCAGCAGCCGCGGUAAUACGGAGGGUGUAAGCGUUAUCCGGAUUUAUUGGGUUUAAAGGGUACGUAGGCGGUAAUAUAAGUCAGUGGUGAAAU
rnacentral:rRNA from 1 species